rnacentral:tRNA from 1 species
GGGUGAUUAGCUCAGUUGGUUAGAGCGCGCCGUUCACAUCGGCGAGGUCUCAGGUUCGAAUCCUGAAUCACCCACCA